GUCAAGAUAGACCCUUCCUGAUGCUGCUUUCUCUCAAGUAUUUGGUCACAGCAAUGUAACCAAUACACAGAAAAAUAAUAUAUCUCCUCACCACCUGCAGUACAAUCCAGCAGUCUAGGCCCCUACUGUGGCUCUCUGACCUCUCCCUGGUGCCCCUUUGGUCCCUCCAGGAUGAGCACCUGCCUCAGCCUCCCCACCCACGGGCAGCUCUGUCAAGACCCCAGGCAGACCACUACUGGGAGGACCCAGAGACGUGUCCAGAACAUUCCACCAUGUGGAGGCCGGGCUCGUACCUCUUCCAGCCUCUUCAGCUCCACAUCAUUCUGACCCUGGAAAUGGAUGCUGACAGCCACCGUCUCGAUCCAGGCAUUGUCUGUGUUCCUUGGGUCAUCCACAUACCCUUUGUACACCUGGGAGGCCAAUACAGAGAUGGCUGUCCUAGGUGUUUUGUAAUGAUGGAAAGCUGCCGGGCCCAGCACCUCCUCCACCUUGGAUGGGCCUCCCCCACCCCCACUUCAGCUGUGUGGCUCAGUGAGAAACACUCGCUUCAAACACUACUGUGGAGAAGAAAAGAGGCUAACGCUUUCUUAUGAUCUGCGCUUGUCCCCACCAAAGCUCACGUCAGAUCCACCCUAUCGUUAGAUGCAUGGGGCACUGGGGCAGGUGAGGCCUUCAGAAAGUGAUUGCUCUCCCAGACGGCCCUAGCUAUGUGACAUCCUGCACCGCCUCCAUCAGCGAGGAGGCAUCCUUGGAUGCAAGCCCUUGACACUGGGCCAGAGCCAUGAGCCAAAAAAUCAACCUUUCUUUUUCAUAACCUACUUAGUCUCCGGUAUUCUAUUAGGGGCAACAUAAAACAGACGUAGCCAAUGAGUUCACAGACGGAAACUAUGUCCAGGGAAAUAUAAUUUAAAAAGCA